rnacentral:rRNA from 1 species
AUACGGAGGGUGCAAGCGUUACUCGGAAUCACUGGGCGUAAAGCGCGCGCAGGCGGCCAUUUAAGUUGGAUGUGAAAGCCUACGGCUCAACCGUAGAACUGCAUCCAAAACUAUUUGGCUAGAGUGUGGGAGAGGAAGAUGGAAUUAGUUGUGUAGGGGUAAAAUCCGUAGAGAUAACUAGGAAUACCAAAAGCGAAGGCAAUCUUCUGGAACACUACUGACGCUGAGGCGCGAAAGCGUGGGGAGCAAACGGGAUUAGAAACCCCAUAGUCC